CCGCUGUGCUAACACGUGGGAGAGAUUUGCAAGAGAUGUGUGUUUUCCUUAGAAGUGUGCGUCAAUGAUAAGUAAGUUGCGAUAUUUGAGUGUUUACUACAGCUAAUUGAGUGAUUUGAAGUUUGUUCGUUUGCUAUUAUUUCACCUGUUGCUAAGUCCGAGCUAUCUGCUAUAUGUGUGUAUUGUAGCGUUGUGCUGAACAUACAUAUCUACUUAGAGGGAGCAGAGGCAUGGUUGUUGGUUAACUUGUCUUAGUUUGCUUAUUAAUAGUGAUUUAGAGGUUGAGAUUAGUUAGGUUUUAUCUAUUUCCUUCUUAGGUCAUCUAAGGUAUAAUAACUUGGUGUAAUGUGUAAUGAUAGGACACUUGGAACUCAUUUUCUGUAUUUUUGUUUAUUCUAGGAAACCACACACACCCUCACCCCGACACACCGAAACACACAUUUAUGCCCAUCCAUGUUCAAUUGGAUCAAGAUCUGUAAUACAGUUUGGAAUACAGAACAGUUAAAGG